CAGGAUGAACGCUAGCGACAGGCCUAACACAUGCAAGUCAGGGGCAGCACAAGGAGCAAUCUGAGGUGGCGACCGGCGCACGGGUGAGUAACACGUAUGCAACCUGCCUGUAAGCGGGGAAUAACCCGUUGAAAGACGGACUAAUACCGCAUAAUACUAAAUUACUGCAUGGUAAUUUAUUUAAACAUUUAUGGCUUACAGAUGGGCAUGCGCAUGAUUAGCUAGUUGGAGAGGUAACGGCUCCCCAAGGCAACGAUCAUUAGGGGUUCUGAGAGGAAGGUCCCCCACACUGGUACUGAGACACGGACCAGACUCCUACGGGAGGCAGCAGUGAGGAAUAUUGGUCAAUGGACGAGAGUCUGAACCAGCCAAGUCGCGUGCAGGAAGAAUUGUCCUAUGGAUUGUAAACUGCUUUUGCAGGGGAAUAAAGUGCAUCACGUGUGAUGUUUUGUAUGUACUCUGCGAAUAAGGAUCGGCUAACUCCGUGCCAGCCGCCGC
rnacentral:rRNA from 1 species